UGGAGUAUGAAACCUUCCUUCACACAUAUAGCAGAGCAAGGGGUAACACAGGUGUAUUGCAUUUUAACAGUACCAACAGGCCGUCUAAUGGAGCAAAUCUGCAUAUGCUAUUGAACCUUACUUUAUAAAUAGAGAGGAGAAGGGGUUAUAAAGACCUGAAGUAUGCUGCCUUGCAAGCUGGAAAGCUCGAUCAUGACCCAGAAGUUUUUUUUUUUAAAAAAAAAAAAAAAAAAAAAAAGCAACCCCGUAUAACCGUAACACAAAGAAGCCCCUCCAGGGGCAGCAAAGGCUCCCAGCGCUGUGGCCUGCUCCUCACGCAGCCUUAACACCUCUGCUGGUAGCUUUCCCCGUUCCCUCCCGCGUUCCCUCCAGAACUACCCACCCCCAGCCAAAGCCUAGUCUGCAGCUGGACCCCAAACCUGCUUGCGGCCAGCUAGCCCCAGGCCCCUACCUUCACCCCCACCGGGGUUCGGGGCUGGCAGCUGGCCCCGGGGCUGCGAUGUGCCAACCCCAAGCUCCCACAGGAGCCCGAAAUGCCAGGGACACGCCGGGCCCGACCCAGCCGCUGGCGGUAGGUUCUCGGCGCGGCUCCCCGGCCCCUGCGGCCCGGCCCCGGCAUGCUCUGCCCCCGGGGCGCCACCGAGUUGGGGAGGCCGGGAGUGGGAGCGGGGCGGGGGGGACCCCGGCUGCUGGUGGUUCUGUCUUCAGCCAGGCGGCGGUCAGUGGGCUGCCUUCCCGGCCAGCCCUCGGUAAUCGCCACUUCCUCAGGGUAAGGUGGGGCAUUCGCUUCGUGGCCCCAGAGGCAGCCGUGGGUGCCCUCCAGUAGCUUAGUGCUUUGGCUACCUUGUGCUCUGAGGGCAUGUGGUUAUUUGGGUCAUCUGGCGUUUCACCUGUCCCUUCCGAUGUAGUUGCUCUGAGAGCAGGAUUAUUUUACUCCAUGUAUAGCAGAGAGCAUAGGCAAGGUCUGUGCCUUGCUUUAGGUUCAACAGCAUUGACCUUGGAGAAACACUUGCUUUUCGUUACAGACAUAUGCACCUGGUGGGGUGCAGGUAUGAGAGGAAGACCUGCCUCAUGUAUCCAGAGGCAACGGAGAACAAGCAGCAGCUACUGCAACAGAGUGACCCUAAAACUCAAGCUAAGGAACAAGACACUGAGAAUUUUUCCAUACUCAGACUGCUGUUGUCCAAGUCAUCCGUGGAAGCACUCACAUUCAAAGUUGACUUCCUGAACCUAGAUUUGUGGACCGAAAGUAUCUGAAUUGGAAAUGGUAAAGUACUGAAUUUGGAUCUAAGACUAUGGCCUCACAGACCUGAAGAAAACACCUCAUCUUUUUUUUUUUUUUUUCUUCAUCCAAGCCCUUCCAUAUGACUGUAACUUACACUUACAGGAAAUAAUUGGAGUAUGAUAGUAAAAUACUCUUAAUAAGAACACCAAGGUAUCAGUAAUUGCUGAUUACUCUUGAGAAUAAAAACAAUCAAAAAGCCA
rnacentral:lncRNA from 1 species